rnacentral:tRNA from 1 species
GCCUGAGUGGCUCAGUCGGUUAAGCGUCCGACUUCAGCUCAGGUCAUGAUCUCACGGUUCGUGGGUUCAAGCCCCGCAUCGGGCU